AUUAUAACACGCGAACGCGGUCUUAAACUAAGUUCGGAAUAAUUUUCCCAGAUACGGAAUUUAAUUCUUUAUUUCCCUGUAUCGAAUUUUAUUGCAAGAAAUUCCGUAACGCGAGAUAUAUUGAAAGUGGUGAGAAUACGCACUAGUACUUGUUGCGUUUAGAAUUGUAGUUUUUUUUUUGUAGAACACGCGAACACGGUGUCACAAUAAGUCUGCAUCUAGACGCAUCUAGAGAUGCGGAAUUAAAAUCUCCGUCGGUCUGUAUUUAUGUGUUGCAGAAAUUCGAUCUGCAACCCGUGAAAAUUUGCAUAAAAUGGUGAAUUUUUUACCCUUUUUCCUGAAUUAUUUGUAUUUUUUCGGGUUUGCACACGACUUUGGCAGCUCAGAAACUUCAACGUGGCAUCUAGAGAUAGGGAUAAUUUAUAUGACGCUACACAUGGUGGGCGAAUGUUUAAAAUGGCCCCCGGAUUAUCGUCGGUUGAAAUACGAAUAUAAAAUGGUCUCCAUCUUGCGAUUAAUUAGCUGUAGUUGGGAGCGCCGUAGAAAUACUGCCUAGGAAGCUAGGCAGGUAUAGUUUAAAAUACACGAAUAUUUAUAUGUAAACAAUUUUUUGUUGAGCCUAUCGCAAUAGCAACACCGCGUGACCGCGUGGUCGUUUCAGAGCGCGCAUUCAGUUCCAUUCCGGUUGCCGAGCAAUACACGCGUGUUCAUUGCAACUAGUUUUACUUCUCCAUAUUUUAAUUUGAUCGUAAAUCGAUUUAUAUUCAAUAAGCAAUCGACGACAUUCAUUCGAAUUGAGCGUGAACGGAAUUUUGCCAGAGAAUAAGCACGAGUGAACUACUGUCGGUCGUCGGGGAAUAUUUUUCGUGUGUUGAUUAUACUGCACUCGUGUUGGCCUGCAUGCGCACGGCUUGCGUAUCCGUCUGCUGUCGGUUAUCGCCCAGAAUAACUUGGAUUUAUGUUUAAUUCGAAUAAGUAGAUAACGGAUGUGCCCGGAAAUGAAGUUUACACUUACACGGGCCCUGGAGUUCCGAAUAUUCAUCGCAGAAUAGUUGCAAAUGUGUGCAUGUUUUAAGGCAAGUCUUCCGCGGCAUUUAAUAGUUGUCGAUAUUUUUCUAUAUCGUAAAUGUUUGUAUUUGUAAAUGUUGUCAAUAAAAUAAAAUUAAUAUAAAUUUAUAUCUCA